GUGCUUGCUUCAGCAGCACAUAUACUAAAAUUGGAACAAUACAGAGAAGAUUACCAAGGCCCCUGAGCCAUGAUGGCAUGCAAAUUCGUGAAGCAUUAAAAUAAAAA
rnacentral:snRNA from 1 species